CCUGCCGGCGACCGGCGCACGGGUGAGUAACACGUAUGCGACCUGCCCCCGCGGGGGGAUAACCGGGAGAAAUCCCGACUAAUACCGCGUAACGCCGCGGACCUGCAUGGGUCUGCGGCCAAAGGAAGCGAUUCCGGCGGGGGAUGGGCAUGCGGCGCAUUAGCUAGUCGGCGGGGUAACGGCCCACCGAGGCGACGAUGCGUAGGGGUUCUGAGAGGAAGGUCCCCCACACUGGUACUGAGACACGGACCAGACUCCUACGGAAGGCAGCAG
rnacentral:rRNA from 1 species